UUUGAGGUAUUUUUAUUCUUAGAUUUUACAUGCAAAGAUCAACUUUAUAUUGACUUAAACAUUUAAUAUGGUUAGUUGUUAUAAAAUAAACUCCCACACUUUAUAUAAAAUUGUUAAAAUGACCAACGUCACAGUAAAUCAAAGUAUCAGUAAUAAUUAUCCACUAAUAGAAUAUUUAAUAAUUUAACACUCAUGGGGGGAAUUUUUCUGAAUACUGAGUACUUUUACUUUUGAUAGAUACACAGUACAUUUUGCUGAUGAUACUUAUGUUCUUCUACUUAAGUACAAAUGAAUAAAUGAAUGCAGGACUUCUACUUGUAAUGAAGUAUUUUUACAUUGUGGUAUUGUUAUUUUCACUUACGUAAAGAAUAUUUUUCCACCUUAUAAUAUAUAUUAAGUAUAUUAAGUAUUUUAGGUAUGAUAGCAUUAUACAAUUUCAACUCCUUAUCCUUGCUCGUGCAGCAAAAGUAGGUAGAGGAAUGGUAGAAGAACCUUUGUGAUAUCAUUUAAUGGAAAUAUGAUGCAAGGUUUGUGAUAAUUGUCUUUUCAGAGCCCAUGCCUGAGUUCAAGGUUGGAUAAGAUUGUUGUUGGGAUGGCAAGGCUGUUGUUGGGUCUGGUCUUUGUAGUUGUUGGGCUGAUUUACUACAAGAUGAAGUCUACUGUGCGGGUUUUGGUGCCAACAACUGAGGGUUUAUAUCCAGAGCACACACUUUAUGUCGGAGAAGCCUGUUGGGAAUCAUUCAGAAUCCUGUCCUGACCAAAUCCAAUGGAUCAAUCUAUGUGCUAAUUUUUAUUCCAAUAGAUGAUUAUUUUCUCUGUGACAUAAGUGUUUGAAAUCAUAUGUUUAUUUGACUACAAUAGAUGAGUCUAACAGCUCAAAGCAGUGUUGAACAAUAAAAACCAAAAUCUCAGAGCACAGUAGUUUCCUCUA